rnacentral:rRNA from 1 species
AUAAUGGCGGCAUUUCAUCUUAUUAAAGGAACCUGUAUUUUAAUCGACAAUCCACGAUAAUUUUCACUUAAUUUAAUAAUUUAUAUACCGCCAUCUAAAGAAUUAAUUUUAUAAUAUUAUUCUUAAUAAAAAAUAAAAAGUUAGGUCAAGGUGUAAUCAACAUUUAAGUAAAUAAUGGGUUACAUUAAAAAUUAUUUAAGAAUUAUUUAAUUUAAAUUAUUUAUGAAAAAGGAUUUAAUAGUAAUUAAAAAACAAUAAUCUUUUAUUAAUUAGAUAAUAAAUGUGCACACAUCGCCGGUCGCUCU